GGUAGCGAACAGGAUUAGAUACCCUGGUAGUCCACGCCGUAAACGAUGACAACUAGCUGUUGGGAAGCUAUGCUUUUCAGUGGCGCAGCUAACGUCUUAAGUUGUCCGCCUGGGGAGUACGGCCGCAAGGUUAAAACUCAAAUGAAUUGACGGGGACCCGCACAAGCGGUGGAGCAUGUGGUUUAAUUCGAUGCAACGCGAAAAACCUUACCUACACUUGACAUACUUGGAAUCUUUUGUAAUGAAAGAGUGCCUUUUGGAGCCAAGAUACAGGUGCUGCAUGGCUGUCGUCAGCUCGUGUCGUGAGAUGUUGGGUUAAGUCCCAUAACGAGCGCAACUCUUACCCUUAUUUGCCAGCGAUUCGGUCGGGAACUAUAAGGGGACUGCCGGUGAUAAACCGGAGGAAGGUGAGGACGACGUCAAGUCAUCAUGGCCCUUACGUGUAGGGCUACACACGUGCUACAAUGGGGAGUACAGAUAGACGCUAAAGCGCGAGCUGGUGCUAAUCUCAUAAAACUCUUCGUAGUCCGGAUUGCAGUCUGCAACUCGACUGCAUGAAGUCGGAAUCGCUAGUAAUCGCGAAUCAGCAUGUCGCGGUGAAUACGUUCUCGGGUCUUGUACACACCGCCCGUCACACCAUGGGAGUGUAUUGCACCAGAAGUGGGUAGUCUAACCUUCGGGAGGGCGCUCACCACGGUGUGGUCCAUGACUGGGGUGAAGUCGUAACAAGGUAGCCGUA
rnacentral:rRNA from 1 species